GACUAGAACACCAUGACUUCAAUCUCUCACCAAUCAAAAAUGGAUUUCUUAGAGACCUUAAAUGAAUCGAAGCCUGUUAUUGGUUAUACGAAAAUUUAAAAUCUAUGUAUUGGGUUUGAGUAUAAGAUCACUGGAUGUGAAUUAAGGAAAACACCUUACGAAACUAAAAUAUGCCUUUAUUAAACCAAUAAGGAAAUUAA